UGUGGUGUAGCGGUGAAAUGCAUAGAUAUCACGAGGAACUCCGAUUGCGCAGGCAGCUUACUAAACUACUACUGACGCUCAGGCACGAAGGCGUGGGGAUCAAACAGGAUUAGAUACCCUGGUAGUCCACGCAGUAAACGAUGAUUACUAGCUGUUUGCGAUACAAUGUAAGCGGCUGAGCGAAAGCGUUAAGUAAUCCACCUGGGGAGUACGUUCGCAAGAAUGAAACUCAAAGGAAUUGACGGGGGCCCGCACAAGCGGAGGAACAUGUGGUUUAAUUCGAUGAUACGCGAGGAACCUUACCCGGGCUUGAAAUGCAUCUGACCGGCCUUGAAAGAGGCUUUCCCUUCGGGGCAGAUGUGUAGGUGCUGCAUGGUUGUCGUCAGCUCGUGCCGUGAGGUGUCGGCUUAAGUGCCAUAACGAGCGCAACCCUCAUCAUUAGUUACCGUCAGGUCAAGCUGGGGACUCUAAUGAGACUGCCAUCGUAAGAUGUGAGGAAGGUGGGGAUGACGUCAAAUCAGCACGGCCCUUACGUCCGGGGCGACACACGUGUUACAAUGGGUGGUACAAAGGGCAGCUACAUGGCGACAUGAUGCUAAUCUCCAAAACCACUCUCAGUUCGGAUCGGAGUCUGCAACUCGACUCCGUGAAGCUGGAUUCGCUAGUAAUCGCGCAUCAGCCACGGCGCGGUGAAUACGUUCCCGGGCCUUGUACACACCGCCCGUCAAGCCAUGGGAGCUGGGGGUACCUGAAGUACGUAACCGCAAGGAGCGUCCUAGGGUAAAUCUGGUGACUGGGGCUAAGUCGUAACAAGGUAGCCGUA
rnacentral:rRNA from 1 species